UUUAGAAAAAGGAGAAAAAAACCUUGAUGUAUGUUAUAUAUAUAUAUGCAUGUGUGUGUCUGUGAAGUGUGACCAAAGUGUAAGUAGGAGUAGCAAGAUAUCCCUGUUAUCUAGCGUGUUUAUGAGACAGAAAAAGACACCAGCAAUCCUACCAUCUCGUAAAACAGUUACAGGCCUCUGUUUCACAGUCAUCUGGCAGGACGGUAGUACAUCCCUGGGUUGCUGCUGUCUACCAGCCUACUACCUAUAACGUCAAAAGUUCGCAAUGUUGGAGUUAAAAAUCCUAGUGAGCAGCAUCUUCAGGAGAUUCAGGGUGGAGAGCGUCGUCCCCAGAGACCAACUCAAGCUUGUCUCCCAAGUCAUUCUUAGACCUGUUAAUGGCAACUUCGUCAAACUCUUCCCCAGGACAAAAUGAUGAGCAUAAGAACACCCAGAAACAAGGAACCACAUGAACCAAGACUUUAAUAAUAACAGUACCAGUAUAUAGUUUUAAAACAUUACAAAAAUACUGCCUUUGUUAGUGAUGAUGUUAUUUAGCAAAACGGACAACCAACAUAAACUGGAAUAUUUUAUAUGUAAUGAAGUUUAAUAUUUAACAUCUUUGCUAUCUUGAUAUUUCCCAAGAUUUUCUUCACCUUUGAGGUGUUGAUAUCAAGCUUCAUAACUAAUUACAGACUGUAAAAAUACUAUGACACCUACAGCAGAACAUAAAUGUUUACGUAAUGAUUUGAUUAACCGUGAUAGUUUUCUAUUCAUCUUCAUGGUUAAACACUGUCUUUUAGAAACUUGCUCCAUUCUGACUAUUGCCUCCAUUUUGCUUUCAACUUUUUUCCUCCAUUUUGCUUACAAAAGUCGAGGUUCCAAUAUAUCAUUACUUCUGAUUCCAUUAUAUUGUGACUUUCUCUUUCACACUAACAUUCUCCCUCCAUUCUUUACCAAGUUAUGUAACCAACCCAUAUACCAUGUUGGGCACAAUAACUCAUUCAGGUUUGUAGCUUUUACUUGUAAAACUGUUGUUAAUAAUAAAAAAAUAAUAACUAU